AUUGAACGCUGGCGGCAGGCUUAACACAUGCAAGUCGAACGAGUGGCGGACGGGUGAGUAAUGUCUGGGAAACUGCCCGAUGGAGGGGGAUAACUACUGGAAACGGUAGCUAAUACCGCAUACUAUUGGAUGUGCCCAUAUGGGAUUAGCUAGUAGGUGGGGUAAAGGCUCACCUAGGCCAAGAUCCCUAGCUGGUCUGAGAGGAUGACCAUCCACACGGGGACUGAGACACGGACCAGACUCCUACGGGAGGCAGCAGUGGGGAAGAUUGCACAAUGGGGGCAAGCCUGAUGAAGCCAUGCCGCGUGUAUGAAGAAGGCCUUCGGGUUGUAAAGUACUUUCGGCGGGGAGGCGUUACCCGCAGAAGAAGCACCGGCGAACUCCGUGCCAGCAGCCGCGGUAAUAC
rnacentral:rRNA from 1 species